GACGAACGCUGGCGGCGUGCUUAACACAUGCAAGUCGAACGAUGAAGCCUAGCUUGCUUGGUGGCUUAGUGGCGAACGGGUGAGUAAUUCGUGCGUGACCUACCUUUGACUCUGGGAUAAGCCUGGUUAACUGGGUCUAAUACCUGCUACGUCCAAUCUCUGCAUGGGGUUUUUGUGGUUAGCGUUUUGGAGUGGUUUUAGAUGGGCUCACGGCCUAUCAGCUUGUUGGUGAGGUAAUGGCUUACCAAGGCGAGGACGGGUAGCCGGCCUGAGAGGGUGACAGGCCACACUGGGACAGAGAAACGGCCAAGACGCAUACGGGAGGAAGCAGUGGGGAAUAUUGCAAAAUGGGCGCAAGCCUGAUGCAGCGACGCCGCGUGAGGGAUGACGGCCGGCGGGGUGUAAACCUCUGGUAGCAGCGAAGAAGAGAAAGUGACGGUAGGUGCAGAGAAAGCGACGGCUAACUACGUG
rnacentral:rRNA from 1 species